rnacentral:rRNA from 1 species
AACGAACGCUGGCGGCAGGCCUAACACAUGCAAGUCGAGCGAGGACUUCGGUCCUAGCGGCGGACGGGUGAGUAACGCGUGGGAACGUGCCCCUUGGUACGGAAUAGCCCCGGGAAACUGGGAGUAAUACCGUAUGAGCUCUACGGAGGAAAGAUUUAUCGCCAAGGGAUCGGCCCGCGUUGGAUUAGGUAGUUGGUGGGGUAAUGGCCUACCAAGCCGACGAUCCAUAGCUGGUUUGAGAGGAUGAUCAGCCACACUGGGACUGGGACACGGCCCAGACUCCUACGGGAGGCAGCAGUGGGGAAUCUUAGACAAUGGGCGCAAGCCUGAUCUAGCCAUGCCGCGUGAGCGAUGAAGGCCUUAGGGUUGUAAAGCUCUUUCAGCUGGGAAGAUAAUGACUGUACCAGCAGAAGAAGCCCCGGCUAACUCCGUGCCAGCCGCCGCAGUAAGAC